rnacentral:tRNA from 1 species
GGAAGUGUUUGCACACCUGGUGGUGGCCUCGGUCUUCAAAACCGCUGGGCCGUAUGGAGACAUGCGGUCGGUGGGUUCGAUUCCCAUACACUUCCGCCA